CAAGGUAUCCUUUGACUCUUUUUAGUUCAACCAAAUGAAUUAAAAUUUUAUAAUGACACAAUUUUUUAGAAAACUAGUUUAUUUAUUUGAACUAAGGAGAGUCAGAGGGUACCCUA
rfam:Brachypodium distachyon strain Bd21 chromosome 3, whole genome shotgun sequence.